rnacentral:rRNA from 1 species
GACGAACGCUGGCGGCGUGCUUAACACAUGCAAGUCGAACGGUGAAGCGCCUUCCUUUUUGGUGGGUGUGGAUGAGUGGCGAACGGGUGAGUAACACGUGAGUAACCUGCCCCCUUCUUCUGGAUAACCGCAUGAAAGUGUGGCUAAUACGGGAUAUUCUGGGUCUGUCGCAUGAUGGGUCUGGGAAAGAUAUUGUUUCGGUGGGGGAUGGGCUCGCGGCCUAUCAGCUUGUUGGUGGGGUGAUGGCCUACCAAGGCGGUGACGGGUAGCCGGCCUGGGAGGGUGGACGGUCACACUGGGACUGAGACACGGCCCAGACUCCUACGGGAGGCAGCAGUGGGGAAUAGUGCACAAUGGGCGAAAGCCUGAUGCAGCGACGCCGCGUGAGGGAUGGAGGCCUGCGGGUUGUGAACCUCUUUCGCCAGUGAAGCAGGCCUGCCUCGUUUGUGGGUGGGUUGACGGUAGCUGGAGAAGAAGCGCCGGCUAACUACGUG